rnacentral:rRNA from 1 species
AAAUUGAAGAGUUUGAUCAUGGCUCAGAUUGAACGCUGGCGGCAGGCCUAACACAUGCAAGUCGAACGGUAACAGGAAGCAGCUUGCUGCUUUGCUGACGAGUGGCGGACGGGUGAGUAAUGUCUGGGAAACUGCCUGAUGGAGGGGGAUAACUACUGGAAACGGUAGCUAAUACCGCAUAAUGUCGCAAGACCAAAGAG